UGUGCAACCCACUCCUGCAGGGCAGGUAGGCAUCGCUCCUGGGAAUGGCUGGCAGGCAGGAGGUCUUGCAAGGCAGUCAUGCCCAAGUCCCAUGGGGAAGCUUGCCCUGCUCUCUCUGGGCUCAGAGGUCAGCUGGGGCCCACACCUCCCAGAGGAGGAUGGGUAAACCUGGGGGACGGGCAUCUAUGGCCACUGUCCACUGGAGCUGCCCUUUGCACAAAAGCUCCGCGGCUCUGUGCCAUCCAGGUGACACAGGGUCCCCUGUUGCUAAAAUCUCAGAAGUCUAUUGUGAGAAUGAGAUGUCCCUCAGUUAACUCACUCACCCCUUUCCCAGGAGCUGUCAGGGGCUGGGAGCUAGCCCUGGCAUAUGGGUAAUCCAUGCAGGGCUUCUUCCUCUUUAGCCUGGGCUUCAGCAUUGCCUCUUCAUCUGCUCUCAGUUUUCUAUAUGAAGAUCUGCCCAAAUUAUGGUGGUUUAAACCAUAAUUUGGUCUCUUUCCAUGGGAGCGGCACAUCCUGACUGCAUCUACUUGGCAAUCUUUUCCCUUUUUUGCCUAUUAUUAUUAUUGAAAAGUAUUAACUUAAAUUUAAAUAUGUUAAUAUAUUUCUUGAUCAGGUGACAUUUUGUAAAUAUAAUUAGGCUUAUAUAAAAAAUGGUAAAAUAAUACUGAAAAAGCUGAUCUGGAAAGUUUAUGAAGCAUCUCUUAUUCUUUUUUCUGAGAAAUUAUUAUUAAUGAUAAAACAUAUAGACAUCACAAAUGGAUACCCAUAAGCACUAGCUCCCCUCUAAUUUUUGAAGGACAGACCAAAUUUCUCUUAGGAAAGGUACACUGAUGUAACAUUCUCAUCUGUAAACUUACACAAUUCUAGCCAGUCUUCUAAACAUCAAACUAUCUCUACCUCAAUCCAUCUGCAACAAAAAUAAUUUUCUCGCCCAUGCCUAUGUCUUGAAUGGUAAUGCCUAGGUUUUCUUCUAGGGUUUUUAUGGUUUUAGGUCUAACGUUUAAGUCUUUAAUCCAUCUUGAAUUGAUUUUUGUAUAUGGUGUAAGGAAGGGAUCCAAUUUCAGCUUUCUACAUAUGGCUAGCCAGUUUUCCCAGCACCAUUUAUUAAAUAGGGAAUCCUUUCCCCAUUGCUUGUUUUUCUCAAGUUUGUCAAAGAUCAGAUAGUUGUAGAUAUGCAGAGUUAUUUCUGAGGGCUCUGUUCUGUUCCAUUGAUCUAUAUCUCUGUUUUGGUACCAGUACCAUGCUUCAUGUCCAAAACACCAAAAGCAAUGGCAACAAAAGACAAAAUUGACAAAUGGGAUCUAAUUAAACUAAAGAGCUUCUGCACAGCAAAAGAAACUACCAUCAGAGUGAACAGGCAACCUACAAAAAUUGAACAAUGAGAUCACAUGGACACAGGAAGGGGAAUAUCACACUCUGGG
rnacentral:lncRNA from 10 species